rnacentral:misc_RNA from 1 species
AAAGUAUCAACAUCCUAUGUUAAUAAUGGACUUGAAGAUGUUGAAAAUAAUAAUGCAAUAUGACAAUACAGCAGUUUACUCAAGGAAUGGAGACGCAUGGAUUCACUUAUCUCACACGUGGGAAAGUAUCAACAUCCUACAUUAAUGGACUGGAGGAGGUCGAGAAUAUUGCAGGUUUAAUGCAGUCUACGUAUAAUAGUUACUCAAAGCAGUACGGCAGAUCACUCAAGUCACGCUGAUACAUGAAUUCACAUUUCUCACGCGUGGGAUAGUAUCAACAGCCUACGUUGCAAAUGGACUAGAAGAUGCUGAGAAUAAUACGUGUUAUAUGCAAUAUGGCAGUACGGCAGUUCACUUAAGGAAUUCUGACGCAUGGAUUCACUUAUCUCACACGUGGGAAAGUAUCAACAUCCUAUGUUGCAAAUGGACUUGAAGAUGCUGAGAAUAAUACGUGUUAUAUGCAAUAAGGCAGUACGGCAGAUCACUCAAGUCACGCUGAUACAUGAAUUCACAUUUCUCACGCGUGGGAUAGUAUCAACAGCUUACGUUGCAAAUGGAC